rnacentral:ncRNA from 2 species
AGUGAAUCCAUAGCGCCAGAACCGGCAGGACAUUCAGACGAAUCAGGCCGAACCAUCAGCAGUCAGCGCAAAAAAGCGCAUGAGUACAUAUCGAGCAGGAUUCGCAGACAGCCGGUUGACGAGGAAGGGGUUUAUCGAAGUUUUCGGCGGAUGCCCCUCGGCCGCUCACGGCCGCAGCCAAGCCACAAAUUCCGGGAGCAAUCGCGGGGACAAAGGGCUGGUGGUGAGUGUC